UACAGAGGUCUCAAGCGUUGUUCGGAUUCAUUGGGCGUAAAGGGUGUGUAGGUGGCGCGCUAAGUCAGGUGUGAAAUCUCGGGGCUCAACCCCGAAACUGCACUUGAUACUGUGGUGCUCGAGUACUGGAGAGGAGAUUGGAAUUUACGGUGUAGCAGUGAAAUGCGUAGAUAUCGUAAGGAAGACCAGUGGCGAAGGCGAAUCUCUGGACAGUUACUGACACUGAGGCUCGAAGGCCAGGGGAGCAAACGGG
rnacentral:rRNA from 1 species